rnacentral:lncRNA from 1 species
UCAGCCCGGCAAGCCCGAUCCCGCGAACCUGUGCGGUAGAGCUCCGACUAAGGACUCAGAGAGCUUCAGCGAUCACAUAAUCCUACAGUGCGCGUGUGAAUUUGACAGAGAAUGGCGUGGGUGAACAGGUCAAUGCGAAGGCUGUCCUCGGCACCACUACACAGUGGCGCAACCUUGUUCCGGCCAACAAACAACGACAGCAUUAAAUAAAAGGACUCUAGUGAGCAUCACUGACCUCUGGAGAUUAUGGAACCAGCACAACGCAGCCGAAAAACCCGUCGAGGAUCCCUGGCCAUGGUGAGGUGAAGAACGGGUGGGCGUGGUCACCUCAGGCAGGAAGAUGGCGUACAAGUUUCUGUGAGAGACCAAGUUUGGUGACUGGGGAGAGGUGAGUACUAGCGUGAACACAGGAAUUCCAGCAAUUACGCAGUGGUCUCGAGCUAAAACCUGAGGGCAAGGGGAAGCUUUAUUGAACCCAACCGAAGAGCACUAGAUAUGGACAAGUACCACUGAACGUGUAGGUAGGGCAUGGACCUCAACUCAGACCUGAUGUAGGAGAACCAUGGGAAUGCCAUCACUGUAUGACCUAUUUUACGUGGCUUCCAUGCACCCAUACCACACAGGCUCAUAACCACAGCCCAAAUACACUGCAUUUAGUCUAUUUUACAGAGCCAAAAUAUCCAUCCCUUCGUUCAGUAAACAGAUAGGAAAGGGAGUAGAUACGUCCCCCACUUGGGUAUGCACUAUGGUCCAAAACUUGAUAUUUUUGAAGGGGUGAGACUACCAAAAUUCAGCACACAGCCCACCCCCAAAUAUAUCUAGCUAGUUCACUGGAUAUGGACAGAGGUAAAUACAGAUAAAAAAACUCCACGGCAGCAAGGGAUAUCCCAUGUUACUUACCCUCCCACAGCAAAGCUUAUUCCUAUCCAUAACUGCCAUAGAAGCAGCUGGAUUCGUUAGUGGAUGUAGAUCUUUACUGCAGAUAUUUUUGAUCCCUAUUGAACUGCCACUGCUUGACUGAACUCACAACUUCACCCCUUUAUUUUUCCCAGCUCCAAGCAACAACAGGGGAACCGACCUUAAGGAACCUUGUUCACCAACUAACCCACUAUCAAUCUUCCAUACAGAUUUAAGCCUUAUAAUCCUUAGAUCAGACACUAAACAGCUCCAAAGUCAGGAGAAAAAUACUGAACCAAAUCCACAGUGACUGAUUCAGGUUUGCAUUUCCAUGCCUGAUAGACCGAAGAUCCUAAAGGAAGAAAACACCUUCUGCAGAUUCUAUUAGAAACCGCGUCGAAGCUAUCAUCUGUAAAGCUUCGGCACAAUGACAGAUCUCAAGACGAAGGGGUGAAUCGACUUAAAGAUAAAAUGACUUGAAGACCCAUGAUGUUUUGUGUCAUUAUUGUAGUCAAUUGUAAAGGGCAUAAAUGUAAUAUCUCACAGGUUGUGCCCUGUGCCUAUAAAUAGGUGAACAGUACCCCUGUACUAUUUACACAAUCUUGUAACUGCCGGCACUUUACGCUGGAAUUAUUGCUUUCCGCUAAGACGAAGGUAUAAAUGUACUUAAAUGUUAAGUAUUAAUAUUUGUGUUCAUGUAAUAAAAUAUGUGAAUAAUGUUACUUAUUUUUAGUAUAUCUUUCUAUAAUGUUUCAUGUUUUAUGUUUUUUACUUUAUAUUGUUUUACAAAUCUGAUCACGAAGGUGUGACCUUCGCGAUAUUUUGCUCAUGGCCUUUGUCCGAAGCUCAUUAAAUCCUUGUGGAGAUAAUGCUUCAGCGGACGAAGGGCAUUAACAUUUAACAUUUUAUGUUGCCUUGUUCUUAAUUCAUAGCAUUUGAGAACAAGUCCCCAACACCCGGCACCACUACACAGUGGCGCAACCUUGUUCCGGCCAACAAACAACGAUAGCAUUAAAAAAGGACUCUAGUGAGCAUCACUGACCUCUGGAGAUUAUGGAACCAGCACAACGCGGCCAAAAACCCGUCGAGGAUCCCUGACCAUGGUGAGGUGAAGAACGGGUGGGCGUGGUCACCUCAGACAGGAAGAUGGCGUGCAAGUUUCUGUGAGAGACCAAGUUUGGUGACUGGGGAGAGGUGAGUACUAGCGUGAACACAGGAAUUCCAGCAUUUACGCAGUGGUCUCAAGCUAAAACCUGAGGGCAAGGGGAAGCUUUAUUGAACCCAACCGAAGAGCACUGGAUAUGGACAAGUACCACUGAACGUGUAUGCAGGGCAUGGACCUCAACUCAAACCUGAUGUAGGAGAACCAUGGGAAUGCCAGCACUGUAUGACCUAUUUUACGU